rnacentral:rRNA from 1 species
CAGUCGCCGCGGGAAUACGUAGGUGGCAAGCGUUGUCCGGAAUUAUUGGGCGUAAAGGGCUCGCAGGCGGUUUCUUAAGUCUGAUGUGAAAGCCCCCGGCUCAACCGGGGAGGGUCAUUGGAAACUGGGAAACUUGAGUGCAGAAGAGGAGAGUGGAAUUCCACGUGUAGCGGUGAAAUGCGUAGGGAUGUGGAGGAACACCAGUGGCGAAGGCGACUCUCUGGUCUGUAACUGACGCUGAGGAGCGAAAGCGUGGGGAGCGAACAGGAUUAGAUACCCCAGUAGUCCCUGUCUCUUAUAC